CGAACGCUGGCGGCGUGCUUAACACAUGCAAGUCGAACGCGAAGGGACUUCGGUCCUGAGUAAAGUGGCGCACGGGUGAGUAACGCGUAGAUAACCUGUCUUCAUGUCUGGAAUAAUACGCCGAAAGGGGUACUAAUACCGGAUAUUCUUGCUUUUCAUAAGUUAUGCAAGCAAAGGUGGCCUCUGCAUAUGCUACUGCAUGAAGAGGGGUCUGCGUACCAUUAGCUAGUAGGUGGGGUAAUGGCCUACCUAGGCGACGAUGGUUAGCGGGUCUGAGAGGAUGAUCCGCCACACUGGCACUGGAACACGGGCCAGACUCCUACGGGAGGCAGCAGUGAGGAAUAUUGCGCAAUGGGGGAAACCCUGACGCAGCGACGCCGCGUGAGUGAAGGAAGGCCUUCGGGUCGCAAAGCUCUGUCAAGAGGAAAGAAGUGUACAAUGGCUAAUACCUGUUGUAUUUGACGGUACCUCUAAAGGAAGCACCGGCUAACUCCGUGCCAGCCGCGGC
rnacentral:rRNA from 1 species